UACAGAGGGGGCAAGCGUUGUUCGGAUUUACUGGGCGUAAAGGGCGCGUAGGCGGCCUUGCAAGUUAGUUGUGAAAUCUCUGAGCUUAACUCAGAACGGUCAAGUGAUACUGCAGAGCUUGAGUGCAGAAGAGGCAACUGGAAUUCUUGGUGUAGCGGUGAAAUGCGUAGAUAUCGAGAGGAACACCUGAGGCGAAGGCGGGUUGCUGGGCUGACACUGACGCUGAGGCGCGAAAGCUAGGGGAGCAAACAGG
rnacentral:rRNA from 1 species